UCUCCGUAGGUGAACCUGCGGAAGGAUCAUUAUUGUAUAACCGAGGUGCGAGGGCUGUCGCUGACCCGAAAGGUCGUGCACGCCCGAGUGCCCUCACACACAUCCAUCUCACCCCUGUGUGCACCACCGCGUGGGUCCCCCUUUGGCUUGUUCGGAGGGGGGCUUACGUUUUCACACAAACUUUGUAUGCAGUGUAGAAUGUAUUUUUUGUUUUUGCGAUCACGCAAUCAAUACAACUUUCAACAACGGAUCUCUUGGCUCUCGCAUCGAUGAAAAACGCAGC
rnacentral:misc_RNA from 1 species